rnacentral:rRNA from 1 species
UACGGGGGGGGCAAGCGUUGUUCGGAAUUACUGGGCGUAAAGGGCUCGUAGGCGGCCAACUAAGUCGGAUGUGAAAUCCCCAGGCUUAACCUGGGAACUGCAUCCGAUACUGGAUGGCUUGAAUCCGGGAGAGGGAUGCAGAAUUCCAGGUGUAGCGGUGAAAUGCGUAGAUAUCUGGAGGAAUACCGGUGGCGAAGGCGGCAUCCUGGACCGAUACUGACGCUGAGGAGCGAAAGCCAGGGGAGCAAACGGG